AGGAAUACAUAAUGUUUAGGGUUACCGCCUUUUCCCAUUCAUUUAGUAUUUUAUUAUUAUUAUUUUCAUUCCUUCACUAUAUUUUAUUCUCUCCCUCAUUUAUGUCAGUUCUCUCUCUCUCAGACUUUUCCUUUUCUUUCUCAAAUCUUCGUCUUCUUUCUCUCUAAACUGAGACAAAGAGCAACAGAGCGAAGUUGUAGGGUUUGAAGAGCUUACGGAGAAAUUCAAUUUCUGCAAAUAAGGUCAUGGACUGGAGAACCAGUUGUGUCUUUUGUGUGAAGUCUGGAGCAGUGUGUAUACAAAUAAAUGAAGAAGCUUGGAUGUUUUCUUCUUUUCUUUUUGUUAUUUUGCUUUCUUUCGUCGUUUUUGGUUUGUUGGAAUGAGGAACUACUUGUGUGAUUUUUUUAGUAGUAGCCCAAAAGUUGUAAUUCCGAAUGUAAAAGUAUUUUAAUAAAGUUCAUGUUUCCGCUA